UACAGAGGGUGCGAGCGUUGUCCGGAUUUACUGGGCGUAAAGGGCGUGCAGGCGGUCUGUUAAGUGCAGGGUGAAAGCUCCCGGCUCAACUGGGAGAGGUCCUUGCAUACUGGCGGACUUGAGGGGGGUAGAGGAAAGUGGAAUUCCCGGUGUAGUGGUGAUAUGCGUAGAUAUCGGGAGGAACACCUGUGGCGAAGGCGGCUUUCUGGGCCCUACCUGACGCUGAGACGCGAAAGCGUGGGGAGCGAACCGG
rnacentral:rRNA from 1 species